rnacentral:rRNA from 1 species
CUUGCUUCUCUUGAGAGCGGCGGACGGGUGAGUAAUGCCUAGGAAUCUGCCUGGUAGUGGGGGAUAACGUUCGGAAACGGACGCUAAUACCGCAUACGUCCUACGGGAGAAAGCAGGGGACCUUCGGGCCUUGCGCUAUCAGAUGAGCCUAGGUCGGAUUAGCUAGUUGGUGGGGUAAUGGCUCACCAAGGCGACGAUCCGUAACUGGUCUGAGAGGGUGAUCAGUCACACUGGAACUGAGACACGGUCCAGACUCCUACGGGAGGCAGCAGUGGGGAAUAUUGGACAAUGGGCGAAAGCCUGAUCCAGCCAUGCCGCGUGUGUGAAGAAGGUCUUCGGAUUGUAAAGCACUUUAAGUUGGGAGGAAGGGUUGUAGAUUAAUACUCUGCAAUUUUGACGUUACCGACAGAAUAAGCACCGGCUAACUCUGUGCCAGCAGCCGCGGUAAUACAGAGGGUGCAAGCGUUAAUCGGAAUUACUGGGCGUAAAGCGCGCGUAGGUGGUUUGUUAAGUUGGAUGUGAAAUCCCCGGGCUCAACCUGGGAACUGCAUUCAAAACUGACUGACUAGAGUAUGGUAGAGGGUGGUGGAAUUUCCUGUGUAGCGGUGAAAUGCGUAGAUAUAGGGAAAGGAACACCAGGUGGCGAAGGCGACCACCUGGACUAAUACUUGACACUGAGGUGCGAAAGCGUGGGGGAGCAAACAAGAUUUAGAUACCUGGUAUUCCAC